rnacentral:rRNA from 1 species
GCCUAAUAGCUAGCCCACCCAAAUAAACCAAACCGACACCAUUCUCUACUUUUACAGAAGCAAGGACAAAACAAACCAUUUUUCCCCCUAAGUACGGGCGACAGAAAAGGGGACCCUUAGGAGCAACAGACUAAGUACCGCAAGGGAACGCUGAAAGAGAAAUGAAACAACCUUAUAAGCCAAAAAAAGCAGAGUUGAACCCUCGUACCUUUUGCAUCAUGAUUAAGCUAGUAAAAUGAAGCAAAGCGCCCUUUAGUUUUUUACCCCGAAACUAGGCGAGCUACUCCGAGACAGCCUAUUGCAGGGCCAACCCGUCUCUGUGGCAAAAGAGUGGGAAGAACUCUGAGUAGAGGUGACAGACCUACCGAGCCUAGUAAUAGCUGGUUGCCUAGGAAAUGAAUAGAAGUUCAGCCCUCCCACCACCCCACCCCAAUCCGUAACUUUACACAAACGGCCCUGGAAACAUAGAGGAGGUGUUAGUCAAAGAAGGUCCAGCUUCUUUGAACAAAGACACAACUUUUUUAGGAGGAUAAAGAUCAUAAAAAGAAAAGGGUUAACCAUUCUAGUGGGCCUGAAAGCAGCCACCUAAAAGAAAAGCGUUAAAGCUUAUGCUAUUCCUUAAACCCUAUAAUCACGAUACUGUUAUCUUACACCCCUAAAUCUACUAGGCCAUUUCAUGCCCUCAUGAAAGAGACCAUGCUUGAAUGAGUAAUAAGAGGGCAAGACCCUCUCCCAGCACACGUGUAAGUCGGGCAGGACCCCCCACCGACACUUAACGGCCCCAGCCCUCAGAGGGAAAUGAGCCCCAACCCACGAACCGACUAGAAAAGCGCUCAACUAAUCAAACCGUUAACCCCACACAGGAGUGCUACCCCGGGAAAGACUCAAACGCAGGGAAGGAACUCGGCAAACACAAGCCUCGCCUGUUUACCAAAAACAUCGCCUCUUGCAAGCAAAAGAAUAAGAGGUCCUGCCUGCCCGGUGACUCAUAAAGUUAAACGGCCGCAGUAUCUUAACUGUGCGAAGGUAGCGCAAUCACUUGUCCUUUAAUUGAGGACCUGUAUGAAUGGCAAGACGAGGGCUUAGCUGUCUCCCCUGCCCCGUCAAUGAAAUUGAUCUCCCCGUGCAGAAGCGGGGUUAACCCUAUAAGACGAGAAGACCCUAUGGAGCUUUAGACAACCAAACGCCUCACAUAAGACAGCCUAAAAGAAAAAAGCUGCCCAUCUUAGUGAUACCCUCCGUUUUAUGUCUUUGGUUGGGGCGACCGUGGGGAAAAGAAAACCCCCCAUGAAGACGUUAAAGACUCUCUUUUAUAACCAAGAGCCUACUACUCAAAGUAUCAGACACCUCUGACCCAAAUGAUCCGGCUUAUUAGCCGAUCAACGAACCGAGUUACCCUAGGGAUAACAGCGCAAUCCUCUCUUAGAGCCCCUAUCGCCGAGAGGGUUUACGACCUCGAUGUUGGAUCAGGACAUCCUAAUGGUGCAGCCGCUAUUAAGGGUUCGUUUGUUCAACGAUUAAUAGUCCUACGCGAUCUGAGUUCAGACCGGAGCAAUCCAGGUCAGUUUCUAUCUAUGCCUUGCUCUUUUCUAGUACGAAAGGACCGAGAAGACGGGGCCCAUAUUCCCAAUACGCCCCUCCCCCACUUGAAGAAUACAACUAAAACAAGAAAAGGGGCAAACCAAAAAAUCCGCCAAAGACCAUGGCUUU